rnacentral:rRNA from 1 species
UAGGGAAUUUUCCGCAAUGGGCGAAAGCCUGACGGAGCAAUACCGCGUGAGGGAUGACGGCCUGUGGGUUGUAAACCUCUUUUCUCAAGGAAGAAGUUCUGACGGUACUUGAGGAAUAAGCAUCGGCUAACUCUGUGCCAGCAGCCGCGGUAAUACAGAGGAUGCAAGCGUUAUCCGGAAUCACUGGGCAUAAAGCGUCUGUAGGUGGUUUGGUAAGUCUGCUGUUAAAGACUGGGGCUCAACCCCAGAAAAGCAGUGGAAACUGCCAGACUUGAGUGUGGUAGAGGUAGAGGGAAUUCCUAGUGUAGCGGUGAAAUGCGUAGAUAUUAGGAAGAACACCAAUGGCGAAGGCACUCUACUGGACCAUAACUGACACUGAGAGACG